ACGAACGCUGGCGGCUUGCCUAAUACAUGCAAGUAGAACGCUGAAGGCGGAGCUUGCUCUUCUGGAUGAGUUGCGAACGGGUGAGUAACGCGUAGGUAACCUGCCUGGUAGCGGGGGAUAACUAUUGGAAACGAUAGCUAAUACCGCAUAACAGUAGAUGUUGCAUGACAUUUACUUACAAGGUGCAAUUGCAUCACUACCAGAUGGACCUGCGUUGUAUUAGCUAGUUGGUGGGGUAACGGCUCACCAAGGCGACGAUACAUAGCCGACCUGAGAGGGUGAUCGGCCACACUGGGACUGAGACACGGCCCAGACUCCUACGGGAGGCAGCAGUAGGGAAUCUUCGGCAAUGGACGGAAGUCUGACCGAGCAACGCCGCGUGAGUGAAGAAGGGUUUCGGAUCGUAAAGCUCUGUUGUAAGAGAAGAACGAGUGUGAGAGUGGAAAGUUCACACUGUGACGGUAUCUGACCAGAAAGGGACGGCUAACUACGUG
rnacentral:rRNA from 1 species